UGGGGAAUAUUGGACAAUGGGCGCAAGCCUGAUCCAGCAAUGCCGCGUGGGUGAAGAAGGUCUUCGGAUCGUAAAGCCCUUUCGACAGGGACGAUGAUGACGGUACCUGUAGAAGAAGCCCCGGCUAACUUCGUGCCAGCAGCCGCGGUAAUACGAAGGGGGCUAGCGUUGCUCGGAAUUACUGGGCGUAAAGGGCGCGUAGGCGGCUUAGUCAGUCAGGCGUGAAAUUCCUGGGCUUAACCUGGGGGCUGCGUUUGAGACGGCUGAGCUAGAGGGUAGGAGAGGGUCGUGGAAUUCCCAGUGUAGAGGUGAAAUUCGUAGAUAUUGGGAAGAACACCGGUGGCGAAGGCGGCGACCUGGCCUAUUACUGACGCUGAGGCGCGACAGCGUGGGGAGCAAA
rnacentral:rRNA from 1 species